rnacentral:rRNA from 1 species
UACGUAGGGUGCAAGCGUUAUCCGGAAUUAUUGGGCGUAAAGAGCUCGUAGGCGGUUUGUCGCGUCUGCUGUGAAAACUGGAGGCUCAACCUCCAGCCUGCAGUGGGUACGGGCAGACUAGAGUGCGGUAGGGGAGAUUGGAAUUCCUGGUGUAGCGGUGGAAUGCGCAGAUAUCAGGAGGAACACCGAUGGCGAAGGCAGAUCUCUGGGCCUGACCUGACGCUGAGGAGCGAAAGCGUGGGGAGCGAACAGG